AUCUGGCUCAGGACGAACGCUGGCGGCGUGCUUAACACAUGCAAGUCGAACGAUGACGGUGGUGCUUGCACCGCCUGAUUAGUGGCGAACGGGUGAGUAACACGUGAGUAACCUGCCCUCCACUUCGGGAUAACCUCGGGAAAUCGUGGCUAAUACCGGAUAUGAGCACUCAUCGCAUGGUGGGUGUUGGAAAGAUUUAUCGGUGGGGGAUGGACUCGCGGCCUAUCAGUUUGUUGGUGAGGUGAUGGCUCACCAAGACGAUGACGGGUAGCCGGCCUGAGAGGGCGACCGGCCACACUGGGACUGAGACACGGCCCAGACUCCUACGGGAGGCAGCAGUGGGGAAUAUUGCACAAUGGGCGAAAGCCUGAUGCAGCGACGCCGCGUGGGGGAUGACGGCCUUCGGGUUGUAAACCCCUUUCAGUAGGGAAGAAGCGAGAGUGACGGUACCUGCAGAAGAAGCGCCGGCUAACUACGUGCCAGCAGCCGCGGUAAUACGUAGGGCGCAAGCGUUGUCCGGAAUUAUUGGGCGUAAAGAGCUUGUAGGUGGCUUGUCGCGUCUGCCGUGAAAACCCGAGGCUCAACCUCGGGCGUGCGGUGGGUACGGGCAGGCUAGAGUGUGGUAGGGGAGACUGGAACUCCUGGUGUAGCGGUGAAAUGCGCAGAUAUCAGGAAGAACACCGAUGGCGAAGGCAGGUCUCUGGGCCAUUACUGACACUGAGAAGCGAAAGCAUGGGUAGCGAACAGGAUUAGAUACCCUGGUAGUCCAUGCCGUAAACGUUGGGCACUAGGUGUGGGGGACAUUCCACGUUUUCCGCGCCGUAGCUAACGCAUUAAGUGCCCCGCCUGGGAG
rnacentral:rRNA from 1 species